rnacentral:pre_miRNA from 1 species
CGCAUGGCGUCGUUGAAUCGGAGGGUCCGGAUGGUGCAAGUUGUUAAAACAAGUUGGUCAAAUUGCACUGUUCCCGGCCUGCUGAUCUCACUCGGCCGAUA